rnacentral:rRNA from 1 species
AGUGAACGCUGGCGGUAGGCCUAACACAUGCAAGUCGAACGGCAGCACAGUAAGAGCUUGCUCUUACGGGUGGCGAGUGGCGGACGGGUGAGGAAUACAUCGGAAUCUACUUUGUCGUGGGGGAUAACGUAGGGAAACUUACGCUAAUACCGCAUACGACCUACGGGUGAAAGCAGGGGAUCUUCGGACCUUGCGCGAUUGAAUGAGCCGAUGUCGGAUUAGCUAGUUGGCGGGGUAAAGGCCCACCAAGGCGACGAUCCGUAGCUGGUCUGAGAGGAUGAUCAGCCACACUGGAACUGAGACACGGUCCAGACUCCUACGGGAGGCAGCAGUGGGGAAUAUUGGACAAUGGGCGCAAGCCUGAUCCAGCCAUACCGCGUGGGUGAAGAAGGCCUUCGGGUUGUAAAACCCUUUUGUUGGGAAAGAAAAGCAGCAGGUUAAUACCCCGCUGUUCUGACGGUACCCAAAGAAUAAGCACCGGCUAACUUCGUG